rnacentral:rRNA from 1 species
AGCGAACGCUGGCGGCAGGCCUAACACAUGCAAGUCGAACGAAAAUUUCGGGGUUAGUGGCGACCGGGUGAGUAAGACGUAGGAACGUGCCUUUAGGUUCGGAAUAGCUCGGGGAAACUUGUGGAAAUCCCGACUAUGACCUUCGGGGGAAUGAUUAAUCGCCUUUAGAGCGGCGCGCCACUGAUUAGCUAGUUGGUUGAGGUAAGGGCGCAGCAAGGCGACGUUCAGUAGCUGGUCUGUGAGGAUGAUCCGCCACAUCGGGACUGAGACACGGCCCAAACUCCUACAGGAGGCAGCAGUGGGUAAUCUUGCGCAAUGGGCGAAAGCCUGAAGCAGCCAGGGUGCGUGAAUGCUGAAGUUCUUAGGAUUGUAGAAUUCUCUCAUCGGGGACGAUAAUGACGGUACCCUAAGAAGAAGCCCCGGCUAACUUCGUG